UACGUAGGGUGCGAGCGUUAAUCGGAAUUACUGGGCGUAAAGCGUGCGCAGGCGGUUUUGUAAGCCAGAUGUGAAAUCCCCGGGCUCAACCUGGGAACUGCAUUUGUGACUGCAUCGCUGGAGUGCGGCAGAGGGGAUGGAAUUCCGCGUGUAGCAGGUGAAAUGCGUAGAUAUGCGGAGGAACACCGAUGGCGAAGGCAAUCCCCUGGGCCUGCACUGACGCUCAUGCACGAAAGCGUGGGGAGCAACAGG
rnacentral:rRNA from 1 species